rnacentral:rRNA from 1 species
GAACUGAAACAUCUAAGUAGCCAGAGGAAAAGAAAGAAACCUCGAUUCCGUCAGUAGCGGCGAGCGAAAGCGGAUAAACCAGUAGCGACGUGAACCGUCUGGAAAGGCGGACCGCAGAAGGUGAAAGUCCUGUAGCGGCGUAGCUGGGGAGCCCUCGAGUAACACGGAGCUCGUGAAACUCCGUGUGAACAUGGGAGGUCCACCUCCCAAGGCUAAAUACUCCUCGACGACCGAUAGUGAACCAGUAAGGCGACUGAACGAUGAAAAGCACCCCGACAAGGGGAGUGAAAAGUACCUGAAACCAUGAGCCUACAAGCUGUGGGAGCCCACUUCCGUGGGUGACCGCGUGCCUUUUGCAUAAUGAGCCUACGAGUUGUCGUUCAGUGGCAAGGUUAAGUCCUUCUGGGAUGUAGCCGGAGCGAAAGCGAGUCUGAAUAGGGC